GAACUGUGCGAACGUUAUUCGGGAAUCACUGGGGCUUAAAGGGUGCGUAGGCGGCGAUAUAGGGGUCAGGGUGCGAAAUCCCACGGGCUCAACCGUGGAACUGCGCUUGAAACCAUAUUGCUUGAGGGAGUCAGAGGUAAGCGGAACUGAUGGUGGAGCGGUGAAAUGCGUUGAUAUUAUCAGGAACACCGGUGGCGAAAGCGGCUUACUGGGACUUUUCUGACGCUGAGGCACGAAAGCCAGGGGAGCGAACGGGAUUAGAUACCCCGGUAGUCCUGGCUGUAAACGAUCUGUACUAGUCUGUGGGGACUUCCACAUCCUCUCGGACGUAGCGAAAGUGUUAAGUACAGCGCCUGGGGAGUAUGGUCGCAAAGGCUG
rnacentral:rRNA from 1 species